rnacentral:rRNA from 1 species
GCUCAGAUUGAACGCUGGCGGCAUGCCUUACACAUGCAAGUCGAACGGCAGCACAGGUGCUUGCACCUGGUGGCGAGUGGCGAACGGGUGAGUAAUAUAUCGGAACGUACCCAGUAGUGGGGGAUAACUAUCCGAAAGGAUAGCUAAUACCGCAUACGAUCUACGGAUGAAAGCAGGGGAUCUUCGGACCUUGUGCUAUUGGAGCGGCCGAUAUCUGAUUAGCUAGUUGGUGAGGUAAAAGCUCACCAAGGCGACGAUCAGUAGCUGGUCUGAGAGGACGACCAGCCACACUGGAACUGAGACACGGUCCAGACUCCUACGGGAGGCAGCAGUGGGGAAUUUUGGACAAUGGGCGCAAGCCUGAUCCAGCAAUGCCGCGUGAGUGAAGAAGGCCUUCGGGUUGUAAAGCUCUUUUGUCAGGGAAGAAAAGGUGCGCUCUAACAUAGCGUACUGAUGACGGUACCUGAAGAAUAAGCACCGGCUAACUACGUGCCAGCAGCCGCGGUAAUACGUAGGGUGCAAGCGUUAAUCGGAAUUACUGGGCGUAAAGCGUGCGCAGGCGGUUUUAUAAGUCUGAUGUGAAAUCCCCGGGCUCAACCUGGGAACUGCAUUGGAGACUGUAAGGCUAGAGUGUGUCAGAGGGGGGUAGAAUUCCACGUGUAGCAGUGAAAUGCGUAGAUAUGUGGAGGAAUACCGAUGGCGAAGGCAGCCCCCUGGGAUAACACUGACGCUCAUGCACGAAAGCGUGGGGAGCAAACAGGAUUAGAUACCCUGGUAGUCCACGCCCUAAACGAUGUCUACUAGUUGUCGGGACUUAAUUGUCUUGGUAACGCAGCUAACGCGUGAAGUAG